AUUGAACGCUGGCGGCAUGCCUUACACAUGCAAGUCGAACGGUAACAGGUCUUCGGAUGCUGACGAGUGGCGAACGGGUGAGUAAUACAUCGGAACGUGCCUAGUAGUGGGGGAUAACUACUCGAAAGAGUGGCUAAUACCGCAUGAGAUCUACGGAUGAAAGCAGGGGAUCGCAAGACCUUGUGCUACUAGAGCGGCCGAUGGCAGAUUAGGUAGUUGGUGGGAUAAAAGCUUACCAAGCCGACGAUCUGUAGCUGGUCUGAGAGGACGAUCAGCCACACUGGGACUGAGACACGGCCCAGACUCCUACGGGAGGCAGCAGUGGGGAAUUUUGGACAAUGGGCGCAAGCCUGAUCCAGCAAUGCCGCGUGCAGGAUGAAGGCCUUCGGGUUGUAAACUGCUUUUGUACGGAACGAAAAGCCCUGGGUUAAUACCCUGGGGUCAUGACGGUACCUGCAGAAGAAGCACCGGCUAACUACGUGCCAGCAGCCGCAGUAAAAC
rnacentral:rRNA from 1 species